rnacentral:lncRNA from 1 species
CACUCGAGUUCCCAGUAUUUUCUGAUUCUAUGUGCUGCUGGUGUCUCUUGUACUCCUUUCUAUCAGUGGCUCUGCUAAGACUGCUUCAGGGGACACACAUUCCUUUAGAUUAUACAAAGCAUAGCUUGGAAAAUGGCUGGCAGUUUCAGAAUCUAGUCACGAUUGCACGCAUGAGCACCUCACACAUCCAUGCCCCCUUUCCCCCCUCCCACCUCCGCAGCUGGCUGACCUGUCUCACCCACUGCUGGCCUAUCGAACGGCCAGGACUGUCUGGUUUUGGCUCAUGCCUUUGUCCAUGUCUGGCUUAGUUCCUCUCUGUCUAUGCUUGCCUCUACCCCCAACGCCCCAGGCGGCACAAGUGUUUGGCCAUACAAAACUACUGAUAGAAAAGGUGGCAAAAACUUCAAACUUUGCUAAAUUCUCUAACAGUUUAUUCUUUUGUUAAUUUCUGUCUUAUUUAAAUAUUGUUUUAAGAAAAACAAAUACAAAAUUAAUUAUCUAAAGGCAAAGAAUGCAAAGCAACCUUUGUGUUCCUUAUAAUAACUGACUUAAUAACUCUGCAGCUGCGUUAUGGGGAGAGUAUAAAGCUUCUGUUCCGAGAACAAAGGAGCACGUGCAGAAAUGAGACGAAAAAAAAUCAGUGACAGUAUUUCACUACACAGAUUACUUAAAAGGUUUUAGUCAAAGCCUCUCAACAGAUGCAAUUUUAAAAUGCUUUUUAGCUGGAAAAAAAAAUGAAAGUGCUUACCCGGUAAAAGAACCGAAGUAGUCCUGAACUGUUACGUAAGACUUUCUAUAGUUGGAUCUUUGUCAAAAAGGGAUGGGGGUGAUAGGAGAAAACAGCAACAACAAUCAAAAAAGUUGGAGCUGCUGUGGCUAGAGGACAACUUCUGUGCUUCCAGAUAGGAUUCUUGCUGUAGAAAUGGAACUUCAGUCAGCACAGCAUCCUGUCCCAGUAGAAAAAUGAGUUUGUCAGUUAAAAAAAAAAAAAAA